rfam:Candidatus Saccharimonas aalborgensis, complete genome.
GCUUACCUUUAAAUGUCGAACGGCCGCCGAAAUAAGCAAAGAUUUUACUAAUAUCAAUUGAUAACAUCGGUCGACACGCGCGCGCCAGUCCUCCCUUGCGAGAGGAGAAAGACAGAGUGGGGUAGACGUGAUUCCAGCAAUGGUUUCACAGGAG